rnacentral:misc_RNA from 1 species
AAUUCUCAACCAUGUCUUUUGUCGACAUGGCUUGGACUUGGGGGUUGCUGGCAGCGAAAGCGGUCGGCUCUCCUGAAAUGCAUUAGCGACGGACUGCAAGUCUGACGUGCACGGCCUAGACGUGAUAAUGAUCGUCGCCGCUGGAGCGUCCGGACGAGCGACACACGAAGUCUGUUUGCUUCCAAUUCCCCUUUGACUUGGGACUUUCGAGCCAAGCCUAGCUACUAGUCACCGACGAACGCAGGCAAGGCUUUUUCGUCCCUCGUCUUCAUCGACG